UGCGUGUGUGUGUGUGCCCGUGUGUGUGUGCCCGUGUGUGUGUGCCCGUGUGUGUGUGCCCGUGUGUGUGUGCCUGUGUGUGCCCCUGUAUGCAUGCCUCUGCUGCAGUACGAGGGACUGCACUCUCGCACAAAGGUAGUGAUGUCUAGUGGAACAUGUCACCGGAGGCUCUGUCCAACUGGGCGGGGAAGAGCAGGGUCAUUAUAAUACUCGUGGCUAAAAGCUCAGCUUCACCACUCAAUCCCCUAAGUGCCAAGGUCGACUGAUUAUUUUAAAUGAUCAGUUAUUUCAGAUUUCUUCCAAAGGGGGCUAGCACUAAAACCCAAAGAAAGUGAGUUUCUGAUCGGAUCCAGCGCUUGUACUCUGGUUGUUGUGAGGUGACUGAAUCAACAGUCUGUGGACAAUUAAAACCUCACCUCGCUGACCACGUGAA